rnacentral:rRNA from 1 species
UGGGGAAUAUUGCGCAAUGGGCGGAAGCCUGACGCAGCAACGCCGCGUGGGUGAUGAAGGUCUUCGGAUCGUAAAACCCUUUCGUCAGGGACGAAGGUUAUUAGUUGAAUACACUGGUAACUUGACGGUACCUGGAAAGGAAGCCCCGGCUAACUCCGUGCCAGCAGCCGCGGUAAUACAGAGGGGGCAAGCGUUAUUCGGAAUUAUUGGGCGUAAAGAGCGCGUAGGCGGUGUUUUAAGUGAGAUGUGCAAUCCCCGGGCUUAACUUGGGAACUGCAUCUCAGACGGGAACGCUAGAGUAUCGGAGAGGGUGGUGGAAUUCCACGUGUAGCGGUGAAAUGCGUAGAUAUGUGGAGGAAUACCAGUGGCGAAGGCGGCCACCUGGACGGUAACUGACGCUGAGGUGCGAAAGUGUGGGUAGCAAACA